GCUGGGUGUGGUAGUGCACACCUGUAAUCCCAGGUACUCAGGAGGCUGAGGCAGGAGAAUUGCUUGAACCUGGGAGGCGGAGGUUGCAGUGAGUCAAGAUCAUAUCACUGCACCCCCAGCCUAGGUGACAGAGCAAGACUCUGUCUCAA
rnacentral:SRP_RNA from 1 species